rnacentral:rRNA from 1 species
CCUACGGGCGGCAGCAGUGAGGAAUAUUGGUCAAUGGUCGGGAGACUGAACCAGCCAAGCCGCGUGAGGGAUGAAGGUACAGAGUAUCGUAAACCUCUUUUGUCAGGGAACAAAGGCGGGGACGUGUCCCCGGAUGAGUGUACCUGAAGAAACAGCAUCGGCUAACUCCUUGCCAGCAGCGGCGGUAAUACGGAGGAUGCGAGCGUUAUCGGAAUUUAUGGGGUUAAAGGGGUGGGCAGGCGGUCUGUAAAGUCGGCGGUAAAAGCCCGGGGAUCAACCCCGGCCCGCAGUUGAAACUGGGAGUCUCGAGUUGGAGAGAAGUAGGCGGAAUGCGCGGUGUAGCGGUAAAAUGCAUAGAUAUCGCGCAGAACUCCGAUUGCGAAGGCAGCAUGCCGGCUCCACACUGACGCUGAGGCACGAAAGCGUGGGUAUCGAACAGGAUUAGAUACCCGAGUAGUC